rnacentral:lncRNA from 13 species
AUGUUCAAUACUACCACAUAUCCACAACAUGUUCAAUACCCCCACAUAUCCACAACACAACAUGUUCAAUACCCCCACAUCUCCACAACAUGUUCAAUACCCCCACAUCUCCACAACAUGUUCAAUACCUCCACAUACCCACAACAUGUUCAAUACCACCACAUAUCCACAUCACAACAUGUUGUGGAUAUGUGCAGGUAUUGUUCAAUACCUCCACAUUCCCACAACAUGUUCAAUAGCUCCACAUAUCCACAACAUGUUCAAUACCUCCACAUAUCCACAACGCAACAUGUUCAAUACCACCACAUAUCCACAACACAUUCAAUAACACCACAUAUCCACAACACAACAUGUUUAAUACCACAACAUGUUUAAUACCACCACAUAUCCACAACACAACAUGUUCAAUACCACCACAUAUCCACAACACAACAUGUUCAAUACAACCACAUAUCCACAACAUGUUCAAUACCAGCACAUACCCACAACACAACAUGUUCAAUACCACCACAUACAAUGGAGCAAACACGUAUUUAGUCAGCCACCAAUUGUGCAAGUUCUCCCACUUAAAAAGAUGAGAGAGGCCUGUAAUUCAUCAUAGGUACACUUCAACUAUGAUAGACAAAAUGAGAAAAAAAAAUCCAGAAAAUCACAUUGUAGGAUUUUUAAUGAAUUUAUUUGCAAAUUAUGGUGGAAAAUAAGUAUUUGGUCAAUAACAAAAGUUUAUCUCAAUACUUUGUUAUAUACACUUUGUUGGCAAUGACAGAGAUCAAAUGUUUUCUGUAAGUCUUCACAAGGUUUUCACACACUGUUGCUGGUAUUUUGGCCCAUUCCUCCAUGCAGAUCACCUCUAGAUCAGUGAUGUUUUGGGGCUGUUGCUGGGCAACACAGACUUUCAACUCCCUUCAAAUAUUUUCUAUGGGGUUGAGAUCUGGAGACUGGCUAGGCCACUCCAGGACCUUGAAAUGCUUCUUACGAAGCCACUCCUUCGUUGCCCGGGCGGUGUGUUUGGGAUCAUUGUCAUGCUGAAAGACCCAGCCAUGUUUCAUCUUCAAUGCCCUUGCUGAUGGAAGGAGGUUUUCACUCAAAAUCUCACGAUACAUGGCCCCAUUCAUUCUUUCCUUUACACGGAUCAGUUGUCCUGGUCCCUUUGCAGAAAAACAGCCCCAAAGCAUGAUGUUUCCACCCCCAUGCUUCACAGUAGGUAUGGUGUUCUUUGGAUGCAACUCAGCAUUCUUUGUCCUCCAAACACGACGAGUUGAGUUUUUACCAAAAAGUUAUAUUUUGGUUUCAUCUGACCAUAUGACAUUCUCCCAAUCUUCUUCUGGAUCAUCCAAAUGCUCUCUAGCAAACUUCAGACGGGCCCUAAACAUUGUCAGACUCCAGCCACCCUAGUCAAGGUGUUUUAUCUGCUACCGGAGCGCCAAGUCUAGGUUCAAGAGGCUUCUAAACAGCUUCUACCCUGAAGCCAUAAGACUCCUGAACAUCUAAUCAAAUGGCUACCCGAACUAUUUGCAUUGCCCCCCCUCCCUUCCCCCUGUCUUCUACACUGCUGCUACUCUGUUAUUAUCUAUGCAUAGUCACUUUAAUAACUCUAUCUACAUAUUACCUCAAUUACCUCGACACCGGUGCCCCGCACAUUAGCUCUGUACCGGUACCCCCUGUAUAUAGCCUCCACAUUAGCUCUGUACCGGUACCCCCUGUAUAUAGCCUCCACAUUGACUCUGUACCGGUACCCCCUGUAUAUAGCCUCGCUCUUGUUAUUUACUGCUGCUCUUUAAUUAUUUGUUAUUCUUAACUCUUACUUGUUUAGGUAUUUUCUUAAAACUGCAUUGUUGGUUAUGGGCUUGUAAGUAAGCAUUUCACUGUUAGGUCGACACCUGUUGUAUUUGGCGCAUGUGACAAAUACAAUUUGAUUCGAGUCUAACAAGACAGUCCCCACAAUCAUUUUAUGAUACAUUUUUCUCAGCCAAUCAUCAGUCAUUUGUGUAAGUGCUGUGCUUGUUGAUUGUCCUUCUCUAAAGCUUGCUGAAAUUCUGUUGUCAAUUAGUAUACUGUGAAAUAUCAUUGUAUCUGGUCAAACACAAUUUUUUCCAGAAGUUUACUAAGGGUUGGUAACAGGCUGAUUGGUUGGCUAUUUGAGCCAGUAAAGGGGGCUUUACUAUUCUUAGGUAGCGUAAUGACUUUAGCUUCCCUCCAGGCCUGAAGGCCACACACUCUCUAGUAGGCUUAAAUUGAAGAUGUGGCAAAUAGGAGUGGCAAUAUCGUCUGCUAUUAUCCUCAGUAAUUUUCCAUCCAAGUUGUCAGACCGAUGUGGCUUGUUAUUGUUGAUUGACAAUUUUUUUUCACCUCUUCCACACUCACUUUACGGAAUUCAAAAGUAAUUUGGUCAGAUAUACUUGGAUGUGUAGUGUCAGCGUUUGUUGCCGGCAUGUCAUCCCUAAGUUUGCUUAUCUUGUCAAUGAAAAAGUAAUUAAAGUAGUUUGCAAUAUCAGUGGGCUUUGUGAUGAAUGAGCCAUCUGUUUCAAUGAAUAAUGGAGCCGAGUCUGCUUUUUUUCCCAAAAUGUUGUUUAAGGUGCCCCAAAGCUUUUUACUAUCAUUCUUUAUAUAAUUUAUCUUUGUUUCAUAGUAUAGUUUAUUUUUAUUCAGUUUAGUCACAUGAUUUCUUAAUUUGCAGUACGUUUGCCAAUCAGUUGUGCUGCCAGACUUAUUUGCCAUUCCUUUUGCCUCAUCCCUCUCAACCAUACAAUGUUUCAAUUCCUCAUCAACCCACAGGGAUUUAACUUUUUUUACAGUCAUUUUCUUAAUGGGUAAUUAGUAACUGGAAUAAGUUGUUUCUUAAAUGUGUCAAGUGCAGCGUCUGGUUGCUCCUCAUUACACACCACAGACCAACAAAUAUUAUUUACAUCUUCAACAUAUGAAUCACAAUGUAAGUUAUUGUAUGACCUCUUAUACACUAUAUUAGGCCCAGCCUUUGGGACUUUGGUUUCCCUAGACAUGGCUACGAUAUAGGGAUCACUACAUCCGAUGAAUCUGGAUACUGCUUUAAAGCACAUUUCUGCAGCAUUAGUAAAGAUGUGAUCAAUACAUUAUUUCAUUCCUGUGCUGUUUGUAACUACCCUGGUAGGUUGACUGAUAACCUGAUCCAUGUUGCAGGCACUAAUUACAGGUUGAAGCUUUCUCUUGAGUGGGCAGCUUGAUGAAAGCCAGUCAGUAUUUAAAUCACCCAGAAAAUAUACCUCCAGGUUGAUAUCACAUACAUUAUCAACCAUUUCACACAUAUUAUCCAGAUACUGACUGUUAGCACUUGGUGGUCUAUAGCAGCUUCCCACCAGAAUGGGCUUUAGGUGAGGCAGAUGAACCUGUAGCCAUAUUACUUCAACAUGAGAUCGUCUCUAAGCUUUACAGGAAUGUGGUUCUGAAUAUAGAUCGCAACACCGUCUCUGUUGGCAUUUCUUUAUUUUCGGAAAAUGUUAUAACUAGUCUUGCUACCACUGUAUCAUCAAAGGUAUUAUCUAAAUUAGUGUCAGAGAUAGUCAGAAUAUGAAUGUCAUCUGUAACAAGCAAGUUUUCCACUUCAUGGACCUUGUUUCUUAAUAUGGGCUAUUUUUAGCACUUUUCCUCGUUGCUUGAUUGUUUUUAAAUGCUUUACUGGGAAGCUUAUCAGAAGUAGACUUGCUCAUGUUAUUCAUAUUGGAGCUGAUAGUGCAGGGUGAGCUGCAUAAAGUGGUCUUCCUACUAGGACACCACCUCAGUGGUCUCCCUACUGGGACACACCACCUCAGUGCUAACAGUGUAACUCUGGUUCAUAGGCGCAUGAUUACUGCAUACAUUAGCUGUAGGAUUAACAAAGGUAUUCAGGACAAUUAGGGGGACAUAAAUUAAAUGACUUACAUUGUGUCUGCCAACGCCCCUAGGAUAAUGUAUUUUUAAUGCAGCAUUAUGACGACUCAUUGUCACAAUGGUAGGGAUUAACUGAGCUGUUCCUGGAUCAUUUACCAGUCAUUGUUUCAAAGCAGCCUUGAAAUGCGUGGAUAGAGUCCAGGACCCAAGAUGACUGUAACCCUACAAUCAAAUCAAAUUGUAUUUGUCACAUGCGCCGGAUACAACAGGUGUAGGUAGACCUUACAGUGAAUUGCCGACUUACAACAAUGCAGUUUUAAGAAAAUGCCUAUAUAAAAAAAAAGUAAGAGAUGAGAAUAACAAAUCAUUUAAGAGCAGCAGUAAAAUAACAAUAGCGGUGCUAUAUACAGGGGGUACCGGUACAGAGUCAAUUCUCUUCUCUCCCAGUAAACUGUUAUUCUUCUAUUCAGACCGACUCCUAACCACCCCUAACCCUCUCCUCUCUCUCCACCAGUAUG